GCACACGUAGCCCAAUUUGGUAGAGGCGCAGCGUUGAGGUCGCUGUUGUUGGAGGUUCGAGUCCUCUCGUGUGCAC
rnacentral:tRNA from 3 species